AGAGUUUGAUCCUGGCUCAGGACGAACGCUGGCGGCGUGCCUAAGACAUGCAAGUCGAACGGAUUGUAGAAGCUUGCUUUUACAGUUAGUGGCGAACGGCGGAGUAAUACAUAAGCAACCUGCCCCGAAGACUGGGACAACAUUCCGAAAGGGAUGCUAAUACCGGAUGUGCCUGCUGAGCCACAUGGCUCGGCAAGUAAAUGGUUUUUCGCUUCGGGAGGGGCUUGUGGCCUAUCAGCUAGUUGGUGGGGUAAUGGCCUACCAAGGCUACGACGGGUAGCUGGUCUGAGAGGACGAUCAGCCCGACUGGGACUGCGACACGGCCCAGACUCCUACGGGAGGCAGCAGUCAGGGAUCUUGCGCAAUGGACGAAAGUCUGACGCAGCGACGCCGCGUGGAGGAUGACGCAUUUCGGUGUGUAAACUCCUUUUAUUGGGGAAGAAACAAGACGGUACCCAAUGAAUAAGCCCCGGCUAACUACGUGCCAGCAGCCGCGGUAAUACGUAGGGGGCGAGCGUUGUCCGGAGUUACUGGGCGUAAAGAGCGCGUAGGUGGUUCUUCAAGUCGGUUGUGAAAACUGCAGGGCUUAACCCGCAGCGUGCAUCCGAUACUGGAGAACUUGAGGGAUGGAGAGGGAAGUAGAAUUUCUGGUGUAGCGGUGAAAUGCGUUGAUAUCAGAAGGAAUACC
rnacentral:rRNA from 1 species